CCGAAUUUGGAAGGUCCGAUUGUAGAAGCUCUUACAUAGUAGUAUUUUUUUUUCCUCACUACAACUUAAAAAAAAGAACAUGUCAUAGCAAUGUUGGUGCUGCAAAUAAUGCAUAUUUUACGGUUGAUCAUGAGCUUGACUGGGCACAUUGCCGUCCCGGCACCCCACCACCUCCGAGCCGCAUUGUCUGUUCGUCUAGUUGAUCUGUCUAGUAGCACCAAUUAAAAAUGAUCCAGGAAGCUUCUUUAGGACAACAGUUGCUCCCUUGUUAACUCUCCAAGUGGAGCAGCAGACCAUUUAGGCCAGUUAAUGACACGCCGGGAGGCUAAUUAAUCAAGAGCGCAGCAGCACCGCAUCUGGACUGCAAGCCAAGAACAGACAGGCGCACGUGAGGAGGCGUUAACAGCCCCUCGUUGUGGCACAGGCUGGGAUGACACGGAGACAGAUCAGACAUGGGCGCCAACGCACGCAAUCAGGCGAGGCGUCCUCGGUGUGAUCGACCGACUGGAUAAUUGGACGGGACGAAACGACAGCGGCUUCGGGGAGACCCCGUCCGUCUUCGUGCGUAUCAUCGUCGGGUUGGUAAAACGAGGGUCUUGGACGGGAGCCAAGCCACAAAAUCGG
rnacentral:lncRNA from 1 species